CCCGGCGCCGGCAGCGAGCGGGGCGGCAAGCAGCGGCGGCGGCGGCGGGACUUUGCGAGAUGACCGGCCCCGCGUCCAGCGCGGGCGCGGAGCGGCAGGUUACAGAGCUCUGGUGCAACCAAAGGGACCCGUUUCCAGUCUUCUUAAUCAAAAUUGCAAUAACUGCAACAGGAGAACUUGUCUGGCUUAUUGGGCAGGGAGCUUAAUUGUGAGAAGGCUCUGGAGGACAGUUGGCACUGCAUGAUAGCUAUACCGUUAGCAUGUUACCCGCCCCUGAAAAGGAGAAUCCAAGCUCUCAUCCAUACCCCCAAAUCCUGCCGGCUCACCGGGUACCGAAGCACUCCCACACUUGAGUUGGAGACUUCUCUGCUCAGACAAGGAGGAUUACGGACAUCAUAUGACUAAUUCUGCAAUGACGGUAUAUGCUUAAUUGGUAAAGGACUGCAUUUUGUAUCUUUUUUUAACCUGGGACAUAGCGUCAAAGGUCUGCCUGAUGUUUGAGGUUCAUUUCAGGUAUUUUCUUCAUUGAGAUUCGCUGUACCUAAGGUUACUGUGACCUCCAGCUUUGUCUUGUGCCCUUCAGCACUACUAUGCUUCUUAUUGAUGAGAAACCAGUAUUCAAAUUCCCCUGAAACAUCAGGCUGUGCUGCUCUCGCAGCUCACAGAGAGGCUUCCCUGAACCUCAGGUAUAAAAGCUCUGGCUGUUGCAAAAGCCAGUGGCCAGAAGUCACAAAAAGCAUGAUAUUUACGUAAGUGGACUGUGAUACCAAACUUUAGGCAUUCAUUUUAAUGUCCUGCUUUCAAGAUCUCUGCCUCAGUUUCUCUGUAAAAUGCAAAUACAGCAUUGGUGAUGCUUAGCUCAUUAAAAAAAUAAAUACCUC
rnacentral:lncRNA from 1 species